GCGGCGGUGGCGCAACGGCGACGCAGCAGACUUAGGAUCUGUGGCCCGUGAAACGGCUUGAGGGUUCGAAUCCCUUCCGCCGCACCA
rnacentral:tRNA from 1 species